rnacentral:lncRNA from 1 species
GAUGGGUCAAGUUAACCAAGGCAAUCAUAUGAUGGGUCAGAGACAGAUUCCUCCCUAUAGACCUCCUCAACAGGGCCCACCACAGCAGUACUCAGGCCAGGAAGACUAUUACGGGGACCAAUACAGUCAUGGUGGACAAGGUCCUCCAGAAGGCAUGAACCAGCAAUAUUACCCUGAUGGAAAUUCACAGUAUGGCCAACAGCAAGAUGCAUACCAGGGACCACCUCCACAACAGGGAUAUCCACCCCAGCAGCAGCAGUACCCAGGGCAGCAAGGUUACCCAGGACAGCAGCAGGGCUACGGUCCUUCACAGGGUGGUCCAGGUCCUCAGUAUCCUAACUACCCACAGGGACAAGGUCAGCAGUAUGGAGGAUAUAGACCAACACAGCCUGGACCACCACAGCCACCCCAGCAGAGGCCUUAUGGAUAUGACCAGGGACAGUAUGGAAAUUACCAGCAGUGAAAAAGUACUUACAUUCCAGUAGCCAGUAUCUAUUAGCAGCCAUAUUGUCACCUCAGCACUGUGGACACCUCCCUGUGAAGAGAUCCUUCCAUUCCAUCUAGUUUUUGGAAAAACCUUGUGGAUAAGUGGCUGUUUCAUCAGUAAGCAGCCUUUGUGGUUUAGUUAUAAAAGGCUUUAGUAGCUCAAAAAUACUCUUGAUUUCACAUUUCUACUCUAGAUGGCAACAUUGGACAGAAAAUGCAAUGACAUAACCAAUUUGUAAUGAUUUUGGAACUGUGUUUCAAAUGGACUGUUACAGACUGAAAGGUGUGAACAGCUUUGUAUGUUUAUGAAGGGUAAGGGAAUUUAAUACUUUUCCACAGAUUUUUUUGUAAGGGGAAGAGGGAAAUGUACACUUUUUACAGCAGCAAUAUUUUGUAUAUUAUGUUUAUUUCAUGUGGUGAAUAUGCAAGGCGGUACACUACGCACUGGACAGCAUCAGAAAUCCUCUGUUAAUGUGGACUGGAACAUGGUAGAUGCUUGAUUGUUUUGGUCUCAAAAUGGUGUGCUAUAAAGAUAAAGGUGAGGGGAAGACAAAGCACACCAUAUGUCCACUGUUCUGUUCUCAUAGAGGAAAUUCAAAUCCCUUUUAUCUAUUAGAUAAUCAAGGGCACUGUGAUACAGUUUUGAGUAAAAAGACAUUUUUUAAAAGCCUUCCAGUUUUGUGGAUUAAACCUUUUUAUAAAGAUCAUUUAUAAUACUGUUUUAAAAUGUGAGGCAAUAAGAAUUACUUUGUGUUGGAUCUGAGGAGGCUUUGGUAAAACAGUUUCAUCUAAAUGAAAGUGGUAAUCCUCUUCUAAAAUAGCAAUAACUGAAAAUGAAAGUGUUAAUUUUACCUUGUUUGAGUUAUCAGGGAACUUAGUAAGUAAUAUCAAAGCAUUUUAUAAAUGAUAUCAAAGAAGAGUCAACAUUGAUCCAGUCAUUUUAUUUUGUAAUAUUGAGGGAUAAUUGGUUAUUAAACUGAAUAGUUCAGGAGACUUUACAAACCUUUGUUUCAACUUUCUUAUCUGGAAAUAAUAUCAUUUAUAAAGGGACACUUUUAUGUUUUUCCCUUUUUUAUGUUGGUUGAUAUAACACAAAGAGAUAUUUAGGAAAAUGCUUAUUGAUGAGGUUUAUUCUAUCUGUUUUUAAAGCACCGAGGUUGCAUUCUAGAUAACCUUGUUUAUUAGCAUGGCAUAUUUUAAUCAUUAUUUGAGACUGUCCUGUGCCUGAUUAUUUUAGCUAAAUUCAGGGAGAUUGCGUGGGGCAGGAAAGCAUGCAUUGAAAAAUUUCUAACCACGGUUAUUUAAGCAUAAUCUGAAAACAUCUAGCCCAAAGGUAAGUUGCUAUUUUCAUCACAGUUGCCUAUGCCCAGGGAAUAAGAUGUAUUCUUUAUAAUUGAAUUGGUUUUUCCCACGUCUAACUGGAAACAAAACAGAAGGGGCGUCAUAAAUUUGAAUAAGCAGAACAUACUGUUCUCAACAUACUGUAAUCAAAAGGAGGAAUUUCAGUGGGUCUCUGUGUGUGUAUGAGAGAGAGAGUGUGUGUUUGUGUGUUUCAAGGUCAGAACAGGUUUUUUUGUUUUUGUUUUUUGUUCUUUGUUUUUUUUUUUGAGAUGGAGUCUUGCUCUUGUCGCCCAGGCUGGAGUGCAGUGGCGCAAUCUCAGCUCACUGCAACCUCCGCCUCCCAGGUUCAAGCAGUUCUCCUGCCUCAGCCUCCUGAGUAGCUGGGAUGACAGGCACCCGCCACCACACCCAGCUAAUUUUUGUACUUUUAGUAGAGACGAGGUUUCGCCAUGUUGGCCAGGCUGGUCUCGAACUCCUGACCUCAGGUGAUCCACCCGCCUCGGCCUUCCAAAGUGCUGGGAUUACAGGCGUGAGCCACCGUGCCUGGCCAGAAUAGGUUUUUUCUUUCAACUUGAUCAGUAGAAAAUGGACAUCAAGUUUGAACAGAUAAAUCAUGGACAGCCUUAUUGUGAUUGAAAUGCUUGUAGGUUCUGUGCCAAUUUUCCACCACUGUGUACUUUGUUGCUAUUUAAAACUGUAUCAACUCUAACGGAAGAAUAAAUUAUUUGUGA